UUCGCCCUUAGAGUUUGAUCCUGGCUCAGGACGAACGCUGGCGGCGUGCUUAACACAUGCAAGUCGAACGGAGUUCCUUGGAAAGAGAUUUCGGUCAAUGGAAGAGGACACUUAGUGGCGGACGGGUGAGUAACGCGUGAGGAACCUGCCUCUCAGAGGGGGACAACAGUUGGAAACGACUGCUAAUACCGCAUAAUAUAUCUGUAUCGCAUGGUAUGGAUAUCAAAGAUUUAUCGCUGAGAGAUGGCCUCGCGUCUGAUUAGCUAGUUGGUAGGGUAACAGCCUACCAAGGCGACGAUCAGUAGCCGGACUGAGAGGUUGGCCGGCCACAUUGGGACUGAGAUACGGCCCAGACUCCUACGGGAGGCAGCAGUGGGGAAUAUUGGGCAAUGGGCGCAAGCCUGACCCAGCAACGCCGCGUGAAGGAAGAAGGCUUUCGGGUUGUAAACUUCUUUUAAGAGGGAAGAGCAGAAGACGGUACCUCUUGAAUAAGCCACGGCUAACUACGUGCCAGCAGCCGCGGUAAUACGUAGGUGGCAAGCGUUGUCCGGAUUUACUGGGUGUAAAGGGCGUGCAGCCGGGAGUGCAAGUCAGAUGUGAAAUCCCGCGGCUCAACCGCGGAACUGCAUUUGAAACUGUGCUUCUUGAGUGCUGGAGAGGCAGACGGAAUUCCUAGUGUAGCGGUGAAAUGCGUAGAUAUUAGGAGGAACACCAGUGGCGAAGGCGGUCUGCUGGACAGUAACUGACGGUGAGGCGCGAAAGCGUGGGGAGCAAACAGGAUUAGAUACCCUGGUAGUCCACGCUGUAAACGAUGGAUACUAGGUGUGGGGGGACUGGCCCCAUGCGUGCCGCAGUUAACACAAUAAAGUAUCCCACCUGGGGAGAACGAUCGCAAGGUUGAAACUCAAAGGAAUUGAGGGGGGCCCGCACAAGCGGUGGAUUAUGUGGUUUAAUUCGAUGCAACGCGAAGAACCUUGCCAGGGCUUGACAUCCUGCUAACGAGGUAGAGAUACGUCAGGUGCCCUUCGGGGAAAGCAGAGACAGGUGGUGCAUGGUUGUCGUCAGCUCGUGUCGUGAGAUGUUGGGUUAAGUCCCGCAACGAGCGCAACCCCUAUUGUUAGUUGCUACGCAAGAGCACUCUAGCGAGACUGCCGUUGACAAAACGGAGGAAGGUGGGGACGACGUCAAAUCAUCAUGCCCCUUAUGUCCUGGGCUACACACGUAAUACGAUGGCGGUCAACAGAGGGAUGCAAAACCGUGAGGUGGAGCGAACCCCUAAAAGCCGUCCCAGUUCAGAUCGCAGUCUGCAACCCGACUGAGUGAAGUCGGAAUCGCUAGUAAUCGCGGAUCAGCAUGCCGCGGUGAAUACGAUCCCGGGCCUUGCACACACCGCCCGUCA
rnacentral:rRNA from 1 species